AUAGUUGCAGUCUGGUGAUUGUUUUUAUCUUUUAGAAGGGAUAUUACUUCUACAGAAAAUGGCCAAGAGAAGUUCAGUUCAAGCUAAGCAUACAAUUUCUGAAUUAGAUAAAGCUGCAGAUAGAAAAAAUACCACUUCUCAUGCACCAAGUGAUCCCCAGAAGGUAGGUUAUAGUGUUCUACUGCAUGACAGGCUGUGUAUUUUCCUUUAUAAGGAGUAAAGUUUUCCUAACAUGCUUUGUCAGAUUAAUAUAAUUCAUGCACGUGGCUCUGCGAUUUUGAAGUAUCCUCUGUUCUGUUUCUUGUAGAGCUGGUUACAUUCCGCCUAAGGUCUAUUCAGCAAACAUGUUUGGGUUUGUAAUGUCUGAUUUAAUUCUACAAGAUAGUUUCAUGGAAGUUGAUUCGCCUGUGACAGAUUACGCUCUGUACCAGUUCGGCACCAGCGGCGCCGUCGUCGCCGUCGCCACCACCGUUACGCAUCCGCUCGUUCUUCAUGUGUACAGGAAGAAUAGGAAGCAAAAAAGGGAGGUGAGGAGGACUUGUGUACACAUGAUUAGGUGGUUAUGCUGGUUUUAUUUUUCGAUUGGUUGUUAGCCCCCUACAAGAGUUGCCACAAUAUGAAAAGGCUCCAAAAGGUGUCACGGUCAGGAAUCUUUUUUCCAGGCAUCCAGUGAUGAUCAGGUAACCAAACCAUAUCACAGGAUGUGUGUUUGUGUGAUCUGGCAAAGUAAUGCUCUUCUUUUGUGGUAUGUGGAAAGUAAUGCUCUCUUUGUUUAUUCAUUUUUGGAGCCAUUAAAUAUUUUUGCCCUCAUAGUAGUUUUAGAUGUUAUGCCUUAGCAUAUUAUAUCAAUGAGAAGUGAAUGUGUUUUAGCUCGUAUCUUCUAAAUUAGUGUCUUCCACCGCAUAUCAGAAAUUAAUGGUUCAUAUCAUGUUUUGUAUUUCUGUUAUAUCAUGUACUUCUUCAAAAUUUGUAUCUCAACCUAGCCUUCUUAGUGAUAAUUUUAGUGGAAGAAAUUAUAUCUCUUUUCGAGUAUGAGGACUGUUAUUUAUUAACAACAAGUAUUUAUCACCUUUAAAAAAAUUAGUCUCCUUAUUAACAGAAAUACACUGAUCCUAUUCUACCACUAUAAUUUAGUUCAUGUGCUGUAGGCAUCACUGUCAUUGCAAUUCCUAAAGAUAUGGAAUUCUCAUACUAAUGCCGCUAAUAUAUUUGCUCAAGAGGUCUCAAAAUGAAAGCUAGGCAUACUCUUCUUCAUAAAUCGUGUUUUAUAACCAGAUCAACAAAGUUUUUGUAUUUCAUGAUUGAUAGAUGAAGUCAUGUUUGCCAAUGUCACCCAAAAAUACACUAAUUAUUUUCCAUCCUGAGCUCAUUUCCAUGCCUGCUCUGGAAUAUUUUCCUACGGAGAAGAUGGCCACAAUACCAAUUGGGCAGACUUUGUCAAGGCGGCAGGAAUAGAAGAAUAACAUAUACUCAGAUAAGGAUCUUCGUCUUCAAGAUUAUAAGGGGAAAUUAUUGCUCACUGUCCUGUCCAUAUGCUUUAGAAGGAAAUCACAAGUGUAUUUUCUAUACAAAACCAUCAUGUGGUCAUCUAUAUUACAAACUAUUCACACCAUAUUCAUAUGGAAUGGCACUUAUGGCGGUAGUUGAAUCAAAGCUAUCUAUCAGUACGCCUAACUAUGGCUUUGUAGUUUUAGCGCAUCCACUACCACUGUGUUGGCAUUUG